rnacentral:rRNA from 1 species
GCGUUGUCCGGAAUUAUUGGGCGUAAAGCGCGCGCAGGCGGCUUCUUAUAGUCUGAUGUGAAAUCUUGCGGCUCAACCGCAAGCGGUCAUUGGAAACUGGGAGGCUUGAGUGCAGAAGAGGAGAGUGGAAUUCCACGUGUAGCGGUGAAAUGCGUAGAGAUGUGGAGGAACACCAGUGGCGAAGGCGGCUCUCUGGUCUGUAACUGACGCUGAGGCGCGAAAGCGUGGGGAGCAAACAGGAUUAGAUACCCUGGUAGUCCACGCCGUAAACGAUGUCGACUAGCCGUUGGCCUCCAUUGAGGGGUUAGUGGCGCAGUAACGCGAUAAGUCGACCGCCUGGGGAGUACGGCCGCA